rnacentral:lncRNA from 1 species
UUUUUUUUUUUUUUUUUUUAUGUUUACGAUUAUAUAGAACUAAUCCUUCACUGUCUGUGUGGUGACCAAAAGCAUUAUAGUGCCAUAUUUGUAUGACUCGAUUAUAUAUUUUAGGAUCUAUCAAUUUUUUUUUGUAAUAGUAAUAUGUUCUAUGGUUUUUUGUUACUUUUUUUUUGCACACUUUAUCUAAAACAUUAAAAACAUCUUGAUCUGCUUCUUUGUCAGGUUCAGGUGUCCAUUUAUCAAUACAAGCUUUAAAAUCAUCAUCGUUAAGUGUUUCAAAAGUACAUAGUGCAGCAUAAUGCCAUUUAAGAGGUAAUUCAAAAUUUUGUUCAUCAUUUAACUUAUUUAAAAAGUCCCAUAAUUUUUCAUUUAGUUUUGGAGUUAUAAUUAAUAAAGGUUUUUCAAUAAAUAUAACAGAACCAGGAUCUAAAUUUUUUUUUGUAAACAUACAUCUACCUUUGCCUUUUACUUGUGCAAUUUCUACUUCUUCAUCUAUUUGCUCUGUAUUAUAUAUUUCAAGUUUUUCUUCUAAAUAUUCUACAUUUUCUUCUGUUGCAUCACCUUCUAUAUCUUUCACUUUAUUCUCACUUGAACUUUCGUCCUUAAUUUCGUUAUGUACAUCAUUGUUAUUUGAGUCCUUCACUCCGUAUUGCAACUGCUCUUGCUCAUUUGUUUUUGCUUCUUCAGUUUCCAUUUCUUCUUCAGUUUCUACCUCUUCUUCAGUUUCUACUUCUUCUUCGUCAGUUUCUAUCUCUUCUUCUUCUUCUUCUUCUUCUUCAUUAUCAAUAUAAUUGUAUUCCUCUUUUUUAUUAUUUUUUUUAUUGUAUAUAUUAUCAUUAAAUACUUCCAUUUUAACUCCGUUCAUGAUUGAUUCUUCAUAAAAAUUUUCCUCGUCAUCAUUUUCAUAAUAAUCUUUUGUUUCACAUGCAUAUUUAUCAAAACCUUUUUCUAUAUAUUUUUCAGUAUGUUCUGUUUUAUAAUUACUAUAAUUAGGUACAUUUUUUUUUUUUUUACUUAAGUAAUAAUUAUUAAAAUCUGUAUUGUUAUUAGUUAUGUCAUCAUUCAUUCGUAAAAAAGAGUUUAAAUAAUAUUUGUCGUUUUUUGUAUUAUUCACUUUUCCUAAUACGUCAUCUAUUGCAUAUGCAUCUUCUAUGCUGCUUGAUCGCUUUUCAUUUUCCGUAUAAUUUUUAGAUGUUUUGUUAUUCGAUGUGUAUCUGAAUUCUUCUGCAAAAAUAAAAAAUAAAAAAUAAACA